rnacentral:lncRNA from 12 species
CAGGGUUUUUAUCUUUUGCUUUUUAGGCACCAUUGCCUGGCUACAAACUCUCAAUAAAAAUCCUUGUGAUACAAAUUCAAGAGAAGUCUCCAGGGUCCAGUAAAUGUGACAAAGACUGGUUAGAAAUUGAUGGAGUUAGAUACUGUAAAGCUCUUUCAGAAAACAACAGAAACAGAGAAUAUGGCUAUUCUGUUGCAAUCAACUUCCAUUCUGAUGAGCUGGUCACCCACAGAGGGUUUUAUAUUGAAUACAAAGCUUUCAGUCACACAGACCGUAAGUUAUUAAACACACACUUUAAUUUUUAAGGAGAAUCCUUUGAGAAACCCUGCUUGACAGA